CCUACGGUAGGCAGCAGUCGAGAAUCAUUCACAAUGGGGGAAACCCUGAUGGUGCGACGCCGCGUGGGGGAAUGAAGGUCUUCGGAUUGUAAACCCCUGUCAUGUGGGAGCAAAUUAAAAAGAUAGUACCACAAGAGGAAGAGACGGCUAACUCUGUGCCAGCAGCCGCGGUAAUACAGAGGUCUCAAGCGUUGUUCGGAACCACUGGGCGUAAAGCGUGCGUAGGCUGUUUCGUAAGUCGUGUGUGAAAGGCGCGGGCUCAACCCGCGGACGGCACAUGAUACUGCGAGACUAGAGUAAUGGAGGGGGAACCGGAAUUCUCGGUGUAGCAGUGAAAUGCGUAGAUAUCGAGAGGAACACUCGUGGCGAAGGCGGGUUCCUGGACAUUAACUGACGCUGAGGCACGAAGGCCAGGGGAGCGAAAGGGAUUAGAUACCCUAGUAGUC
rnacentral:rRNA from 1 species